rnacentral:rRNA from 1 species
CGACGUGGGGAACCUGCCCUAUACAGGGGGAUAACAGCUGGAAACGGCUGCUAAUACCGCAUAAGCGCACAGAAUCGCAUGAUUCAGUGUGAAAAGCCCUGGCAGUAUAGGAUGGUCCCGCGUCUGAUUAGCUGGUUGGUGAGGUAACGGCUCACCAAGGCGACGAUCAGUAGCCGGCUUGAGAGAGUGAACGGCCACAUUGGGACUGAGACGCGGCCCAA